UUUGCUCAUUUUCCUAACCAA
rnacentral:piRNA from 1 species